rnacentral:tRNA from 2 species
GAAGUAGUAGUUUAUUAAAACAUUAAGUUGCAAUCUUAAAAUAGAGUUUCUCCUACUUUU